UGCGAAGGGGGCUAGCGUUGCUCGGAAUCACUGGGCGUAAAGCGCACGUAGGCGGACUCUUAAGUCGGUGGUGAAAUCCUGGAGCUCAACUCCAGAACUGCCUUCGAUACUGAGAGUCUCGAGUCCGGGAGAGGUGAGUGGAACUGCGAGUGUAGAGGUGAAAUUCGUAGAUAUUCGCAAGAACACCAGUGGCGAAGGCGGCUCACUGGCCCGGUACUGACGCUGAGGUGCGAAAGCGUGGGGGGCAAACAGG
rnacentral:rRNA from 1 species